rnacentral:lncRNA from 1 species
UCUUAUUGGUCUUCUUUUAUCCCCCAGUGUCUCUAGAUCAAGAUUAUAGUGUAGAAAUUCACUGCUGUAAGUUGGUGCCAAGAAAUGAUUAGAUAUAUGUUGAGGUUGGUUUUACUUUCACCAGUCAGGAAGUUAUACAAACUUACUAAAGCUUUGUUUGGAUGUAGUCGGAUUCACACCAAUCCACAUGUAUUGAGGUGGAUUGGAGUGGAACUUGAACUAAAUUCCACUCCAAUCCACACCAACACACAUGGAUUGAAGUGAAUCUGACAACAUCCAAACAAGGCCUAAAGGUUUUAUAAUCCAAGUGCUGGAUUACAUAGAAAUUUCUUCUAAAUAGCAAGAAUUUAAUCAUUCUUUUUUUAUCU